UACGUAGGGUCCGAGCGUUGUCCGGAAUUAUUGGGCGUAAAGGGCUCGUAGGCGGUUUGUCGCGUCGGGAGUGAAAACUCAGGGCUCAACCCUGAGCGUGCUUCCGAUACGGGCAGACUAGAGGUAUGCAGGGGAGAACGGAAUUCCUGGUGUAGCGGUGGAAUGCGCAGAUAUCAGAAGGAACACCGGUGGCGAAGGCGGUUCUCUGGGCAUUACCUGACGCUGAGGAGCGAAAGCAUGGGGAGCGAACAGG
rnacentral:rRNA from 1 species